CAAAGCUGCUGCUGUGAUAAUCAUCCCUGGAUCCUGGAACACAGAAUGACAGGGGAGCCUUCUUUCAGCUAGAUGGAAAACAAAAGUCAAAGCCAAUUCCUGCAUUUUUAAUCAAGCCAGGAUACAAUGAGGAUAAACGGCAGGUAAAUAAGUGAUGAAUUAGCUUACUUCAAACUCUCUGAAGAUCAGCACUAGCACAGAUUCUUUGAAAGAUCUGAAGCAGCAAAUAGCAGAUUAUGCAAGGACUCUCCCAGGAAAACCUCAGCUUCAUCUCUGUGAUAGCGGUGCUCAACCAAGGCUGCAACCUGCUUGAUUUGGUGUUACGUGUCCAACGUGAGAGUCCUUUUAGAGUGAAGCACACAGCAAGCAAGAAUCAGGGAGAGCAGGAACCAGACCAGAUUAGAGAAUGACUCAGAACGUUAACAAAGAAAACAACACGCAGGAGUUGGCUGUG